UUAUGAUAUGCUUGUCUCAAAGAUUAAGCCAUGUAUGUCUAAGUAUAAACUAAUUAUACGGUGAAACUGCGGACGGCUCAUUAAAUCAGCUAUAGUUUAUUUGAUAGUCUUUACUACUUGGAUAACCGUAGUAAUUCUAGAGCUAAUACAUGCGCAAAGCCGUGCAAACGGUGUAUUUAUUAGGUAAAAAGCCAACCCCUCGUGGAGUUGUGAGGAUUCAUGAUAACUGAGCGGAGCGUAUGGCCUCGUUGCCGACGCCGAUUCAUUCAAAUUUCUG
rnacentral:rRNA from 1 species